UUAGAUGCGAGAGUAGAGCAUAUCAAUAAGCGGAGGAAAAGAAACUAACAAGGAUUCCCUUAGUAACGGCGAGUGAAGCGGGAAGAGCUCAAAUUUGAAAUCUUCAAGGUUCUACCUUGACGAAUUGUAGUUUAUAGAAGUGUUUUCUGUUAGUGGAGUGGCAAAAGUUCUUUGGAAUAGGACAUCAUAGAGGGUGAGAAUCCCGUAUUUGGUCAUUCCUCCUAGCGUCGUGAUACACUUUCAACGAGUCGGAUUGUUUGGGAAUGCAGUCCAAAAUGGGUGGUAAAUUUCAUCUAAAGCUAAAUAUUGGCGAGAGACCGAUAGCGAACAAGUACCGCGAGGGAAAGAUGAAAAGAACUUUGAAAAGAGAGUUAAACAGUACGUGAAAUUGUCAAAAGGGAAGCGUUUGACACCAGUGUUGUUUUUCCGAAAAUCAAUUACGAAUGUUUUGUUUUUGAGGAGUUAUGACUUCAUCGGCUUGCUUCUCUCUUUACGAAACUUUCUUAAUGCACUUUUCGGUUAACAAGUCAACAUCAAUUUCUUUUGUUGUAAAAGGGAAUGAGGAAGGUGGCUUUCUUUUCGGAGAAAGUGUUUAUAGCCUUGUACCUCUGCAAUCGGAGAGAUUGAGGUCUGCAGCGUAGAUCCUUCGGGGUUAGAUACAUUUGUGCUAAGUUAUAGCUUUUCAUAGACAACUUGUUGACUAUGUUAAGUCUUGUAGCUUACUCGCUUAUGCUAUUUUACCUACGCUUAGGAUGUUGACACACGCGCGUGCUCG
rnacentral:rRNA from 1 species